GCUUUGGGACACAUCUUCCCUAGUCAGUUGCGCUCGUUCCUAUGGCAAAAGAGAACUUCAGCUUCGGUUUUCCAGCUCCCAAACAGUUAAGUGACUUCCUGCAAACGCUACAGUCCCAGCAACCAGCCUUCCAAUCAAAAUGAAUAAACCAGUAGACCAAUUCAGAGUCCAUUUCAGUGGUGCAGGUGAGAGGUAUUAGAGACCUGGACAAGGUGGUGGCAGAUGAAGAUGGAGAGAAGAGAGAUAAGACCUCACUAUGUUGCCCAGGCUGAAUUCCUGCCUCAUGCACCGCCUCACCAAGCUUAACAGCUUUACCAUACCUGGG